UACCUGGCUCAGGAUGAACGCUGGCGGCGAUGCCUAAUACAUGCAAGUCGAACGGAUAUCUUCGGAUAUGAGUGGCGAACGGGUGAGUAACACGUAGGGAACCUGCCUGCAUGAGCGGGAGAACUUCUGGAACGGAAGCUGAUACCGGAUGAGCAAAGAGGAGGCAUCUCUUUUUGGAAAAGGGGACAAGAGUCCCGCAUGCAGAUGGGCCUGCGGUGCAUUAGCUGGUUGGAGAGGUAACGGCUCACCAAGGCGACGAUGCAUAGCCGGCCUGAGAGGGCGGACGGCCACACUGGGACUGAGACACGGCCCAGACUCCUGCGGGAGGCAGCAGUAGGGAAUUUUCGUCAAUGGGGGGAACCCUGAACGAGCAAUGCCGCGUGAGCGAGGAAGGUCUUCGGACCGUAAAGCUCUGUUGCCGGGGACAAAAGGCAGAAAGAGUGGAAAGCUUUCUGAGUGAUGGUACCCGGCGAGGAAGUCACGGCUAACUACGUG
rnacentral:rRNA from 1 species